rnacentral:rRNA from 1 species
CACGUAGGCGGAUUUGUAAGUCAGGGGUGAAAUCCCGGGGCUCAACCUCGGAACUGCCUUUGAUACUGCAAAUCUCGAGUCCGGAAGAGGUGAGUGGAAUUCCUAGUGUAGAGGUGAAAUUCGUAGAUAUUAGGAAGAACACCAGUGGCGAAGGCGGCUCACUGGUCCGGUACUGACGCUGAGGUGCGAAAGCGUGGGGAAGCAAACA